rnacentral:rRNA from 1 species
UACGAAGGGAGCGAGCGUUGUUCGGAAUCACUGGGCUUAAAGCGUGCGUAGGCGGAUUGGUAAGUAAGAAGUGAAAUCCCAGGGCUUAACCCUGGAACUGCUUUUUUAGACUGCCUGUCUGGAAUUCGGUAGAGGUUGGUGGAACUCCUAGUGUAGAGGUGAAAUUCGCAGAUAUUAGGAAGAACACCGGUGGCGAAGGCGACCAACUGGACCGAUAUUGACGCUGAGGCACGAAAGCGUGGGUAGCAAACAGG